rnacentral:rRNA from 1 species
GAUGAACGCUGGCGGCGUGCCUAAUACAUGCAAGUCGAGCGAAUGGAUUAAGAGCUUGCUCUUAUGAAGUUAGCGGCGGACGGGUGAGUAACACGUGGGUAACCUGCCCAUAAGACUGGGAUAACUCCGGGAAACCGGGGCUAAUACCGGAUAACAUUUUGAACCGCAUGGUUCGAAAUUGAAAGGCGGCUUCGGCUGUCACUUAUGGAUGGACUCGCGUCGCAUAAGCUAGUUGGUGAGGAAACGGCUCACCAAGGCAACGAUGCGUAGCCGACCUGAGAGGGUGAGCGGCCACACUGGGACUGAGACACGGCCCAGACUCCUACGGGAGGCAGCAGUAGGGAAUCUUCCGCAAUGGACGAAAGUCUGACGGAGCAACGCCGCGUGAGUGAUGAAGGCUUUCGGGUCGUAAAACUCUGUUGUUAGGGAAGAACAAGUGCUAGUUGAAUAAGCUGGCACCUUGACGGUACCUAACCAGAAAGCCACGGCUAACUACGUGCCAGCCGCCGCGGUAA